CCUACGGGCGGCUGCAGUGGGGAAUAUUGCACAAUGGGGGAAACCCUGAUGCAGCGACGCCGCGUGAGUGAAGAAGUAAUUCGUUAUGUAAAGCUCUAUCAGCAGGGAAGAAAAUGACGGUACCUGAGUAAGAAGCCCCGGCUAACUACGUGCCAGCAGCCGCGGUAAUACGUAGGGGGCAAGCGGUAUCCGGAUUGACUGGGUGGAAAGGGAGCGUAGACGGGAGUGCAAGUCUGGAGUGAAAGGCGGGGGCUCAACCCCCGGUCUGCUCUGGAAACUGUACGGCUGGAGUGCAGGAGAGGUGAGUGGAAUUCCUAGUGUAGCGGUGAAAUGCGUAGAUAUUAGGAGGAACACCAGUGGCGAAGGCGGCUUACUGGACUGUAACUGACGUUGAGGCUCGAAAGCGUGGGGAGCAAACAGGAUUAGAUACCCUUGUAGUC
rnacentral:rRNA from 1 species